rnacentral:rRNA from 1 species
UGGGGAAUAUUGGACAAUGGGCGCAAGCCUGAUCCAGCCAUGCCGCGUGAGUGAUGAAGGCCCUAGGGUUGUAAAGCUCUUUCACCGGUGAAGAUAAUGACGGUAACCGGAGAAGAAGCCCCGGCUAACUUCGUGCCAGCAGCCGCGGUAAUACGAAGGGGGCUAGCGUUGUUCGGAAUUACUGGGCGUAAAGCGCACGUAGGCGGGUAUUUAAGUCAGGGGUGAAAUCCCAGAGCUCAACUCUGGAACUGCCUUUGAUACUGGGUACCUAGAGUAUGGAAGAGGUGAGUGGAAUUCCGAGUGUAGAGGUGAAAUUCGUAGAUAUUCGGAGGAACACCAGUGGCGAAGGCGGCUCACUGGUCCAUUACUGACGCUGAGGUGCGAAAGCGUGGGGAGCAAAC